rnacentral:lncRNA from 1 species
AAGUACUUACAAGAGAGCACGAUCCUCACGAACAUUGUUGUCAACCUCAAUGAUCUUAGACCCAGCCAAGAGCUGCAUAACGAGACCAGAGGUGACAAUGGGAGUGAUACCAAGCUCCAUGACAGUACCACGGUUGGAAGCAAGAAUGACACGCAUCCAAUACAAGGGAUCAGCCCCUGUGGUGGCGUGGAUUCCGUAGAGAGGAAGCUGGCUGCAGACGAGGAAGAUGAAGAGGGAGAUGACUGUGUAGAUGACUUUCUCCCUGAAUGGAAUCUUCCUGUCAGCACUCUGCACCUCUGGGAGAAAAGGCAAGAACGGCCUCACCAGAUGCAAUACUCUGAAUCCUCCUCCCAUUAUACCUUUUCUGCAAACAGUCAUAAGCAAGAACGAUAUAGCUACUUGUUAAUUUGCUAUUCAACGAAAUUACAUUCGAUCACAGCCCAUAGAUUAGAUCUACCUAAAAUUUUCACGAAAAUCUCAGAUCUAUAUUGCGAAAAGUUGAUAGAUCAUGGAUGAAUCUUUGUAACUAGAUCAGGAAGCUAAAUUAUCAAGAAGGAUCGGAGACGAUUUGGGAUUAUCAAUCUCUGUAGUUUAGGGAUCGAAGAAGCUUUACCUCUCUGCGAGCUUGAGAGUAAGCGCUGCGAAGAAGAAGAAGAAGAAACGUGUUCCAAGAUUUUUUCGCUCGAAGCUAUUUUAAACAAGAAGAUACAUGUCAUCAAACCAAUUAGAAUCGCACACGUGGCCGACUAUGGCCAAGUGAUGACGACUUGAUUUUACACAAACAAAAAAAAACUCUUAUCGAUAAUAACAUUGUUAGGUAUAUUGACCAAUUUUUGUUUUAAGGAUUCUAAUAAUCAUCUUAUUGAUGACAAAUAUAUAGGGGAUUCGAUGUCGCAAGCCAUGAAGGAAUACUAAGUCUGUGCCACCGCCAUAUGGAAAGACUGUCAAGGUUGGCAUAGAACAUGAACUGAGUAAAAAUACUAUGCUUCAUAUGUCAAAGACUACUCGAGAGGCGAGUUAUUGUUUCUAGGGCAGGGCAUUAAAACCGAACCCGAUCACCCGAACCGAACCCGGUCCGAUAAAACCGGUUCGGGUCGGGUUCGGAUCUUGAGAAAUACCCGAAUGGUCACAUAUUUUUGGUAUAAUGGGUUACGGGUCGGGUCGGGUAAAAAGCACCAACCCGAUCGGGUUAAUGGAUACCCGAGCAUCGAGUGAUAUAUGUCUAGGUUUCCAUUUUUUCCCCCUUUCGAUUUCUCUUGAUCUUGUUACGAUUUGAUCGUUUCUUCUCAAUAUUGAGAUUUCCCUAAAUCAUGAUCCUCUUUCCUAAACAUAUCCUCUCCGAUUUCUCUUCCGAUCGGUUCCGUGAUUCACAAACCCUUGUAUCUCCUUUCUUAUAUAAGUUGUGCUCUUCACCGAGGUACAAAGCACCAAAACUCCUCUCCUCCUCCUUCGACGAUUUCAUUAAGAGGUGAGAUACUCUUCCUCCUUUUCUCUGCAAUCGAGUAAUGGCUAGAUGUUCUGGGGUUUAUGGGUCAUUCGGAUUUGUCGGGUUUAUGGGUUUCCUAUUCAGCUAGUUGUUUUCAUGAACAGAACAACGUCUUAUGUUCUUAAUUCAUAGAGUUAUGUUCUGUUGUUAGAUGAUGUUCGUCUGCAGUUGUUUCAUUUUCUUAUAAAAAGUGACGUUUUAUUUAUCUUGAUUGAUCCUUAAAGAUGAUUGUUUUUUUUAACUUGUGUUCAUGUCUAUGCGAUGAUGUUGAUGUUCUGUUUUUUCAUGUUCUAAAAUGUAUUUAAUCUUUAGUUGUUUUGUCUGUUUUGUUUUGUUCAAUCUGACUAUUGUUUGUCACUUCUUAGCAAAUGGAUUCAUCAACAUUCAAGAACACAAACAGUGGAGCUGACAAGCAAGAUGGGGUCGAAUACGAGAACUUUGAAACACCAGAUAGGUGUGGAAAGAGGAAGGAGACAUGUACACCUUGCGAAGAAAGUCCUGAGGCAAAAAAGGUGAAAAAAGUUGUUGUGCCAAGAUCAGAUGUCUGGAAUCAUUACACCAGGACAAAGCAGAGCCGUGACAGGUGCAUUUGCCACUACUGCCAGAAGGUGUUUUCAUGUGCAACAAAAUCAGGAACUUCCAAUCUCCAGAAGCACCUGCUCAUCUGCAAAGAGUACCAGGCGCACUUAAUCAGCAAAGGAAAGAGUCAAACUUCCAUCGAUGAUGAAGGGAGUUUGAAGCCAUCAAAGGUACCUGAGAAAGUUGUCAGAGAAGCUACGAAUGAGCUAUUGGUGUUAGCUGAGUUGCCUCUGUCUUUCGUAGACAGUACAGGAUGGAAGUAUUUCUGCAAUAAGGUAAAGUUUUGAAUUGUAAAUUAUUUCUCUGAUUUAUGAAACUAACGUCAAUUUGUUUUUUCCGUGAAGGUGAACCUUUACAAACCUCAUUCAAGGCGAACUGCCACUAGAGACAUUGUGGAGAUGUUUCUGAAGAAGAAAGAAGCAUUGAAGAUAUAAUUGCAGACUAACAAACAAAGAGUUUCUCUCACUACUGACAUUUGGGUUUCUCAAGUGACAGGUAAGGUUUUUUCUUUUCUGAAAAGUGAAAACAAUCUAAUUUUUUAUUUAUACUAAUAGCAUUGUUUUUUAAAAAAAAAUUUCAGGUGCAAGUUACAUGGUUGUAACUGCACAUUUUGUUGACCCGACUUGGCAGCUGAAGAAGAUCAUCCUUGGUUUCAAACUGGUCAUGGAUCAUAAAGGUCAGACGAUUUCCACAGUUCUUUUAGAAUGCUUAGCUGACUGGGGAAUUGAGAAACUGUUUUGCAUUACGGUAGACAAUGCCACUGCUAACACCUCUGCUCUUAGGCGUUUCCAUAGUCAGUUUAGGUCAGUCUCGCCUGAUGCUUUGGUAUUAGAUGGUAACUUUCUUCAUAUGAGGUGUUGUGCACACAUUAUCAACUUGAUAGCUAGGGAGGGUCUAGGUGAUUUAGGCGACAAUGUGUUGGCAAUCCGCAAUGCAGUCCAGUAUGUCCGGUCUUCUACCAAUAGGUUAAACGCCUUUGACCAGAGGGUUACUACUGGUAAGAUGACACGAGGAAGUCUCCCGAUGGAUGUUAAGACUAGGUGGAAUUCAACCUUUCUCAUGUUAUCAAGAGCCUUGCAGUUCAGAGUGGCGUUUGAUAGGAUGGAAGCAGAGGAUAGACUGUACAAUGACUACUUUUUAGAAGUAGAAAAUGGUGUUAAGAGGUGUGGACCGCCUGGUCUUAGUGACUGGAAUGCUGUGGAGAAGCUAAGGAGGUUCCUGGUCAUCUUUUAUAAUAGCACUUUAGUUGUCUCAGCUUCCUCAAAGGUGAACUCCUACAAAUGCUAUGGUGAGAUUGUGACAAUUGAGAGGAAUCUCAAUGCAUUGGCUUGCAACUUAGACUUGGAUUUGAAGUUGAAAGCUGAAGACAUGUUGCAGAAGUUCUUGAAGUAUUGGGAUGGCAUGAAGAAUGUGAACCGGAUGUUGAUUCUUGCAGCAGUACUCGAUCCCAGGAAGAAGAUGACUUACCCAAGCUUCUGUUUUGAGACACUGUAUGGAAAAGACAGUACAGAAGCCAAAGAAAUGAGUGACUCUGUGCUUGAUCUCCUUACAAGAAUGUUCAACGAGUAUGCUAGCCGGUUCAAAGGGGCUAAUAGCGAAUCAUCUCAGGCGAAGCAGACUGAGACGGUGGCUGUUCAGGAGAGUCAAGAUCAUUUGGACAGGCUCAAGUUGGUUGUUGAAGACUUUGGGUAUUUGAGAAUGGACUCCGAGUACAAGAAUCUUGUUGCUGAUUCAGGAAAUGAGCCAAGGGAUGAGCUGGAGAUGUACUUAAAGGAACCAGUUGAGAAUCAAAAGCUUAUGAUGGGAUUCGAGUUUGACAUACUUGGUUGGUGGAAGGUUCACAAAAUGAAGUUUCCUGUGCUAGCAGAGAUGGCGAGGGAUUUAUUUGCGAUGCAGGUUUAAUUACUUCUGUUGUUCCGUUGGUAGUUAAUUUUUUUUUUUUCUAGAAUGCUUAGCUGACUUGAGGAUUUACUUGUGAUGCAGGUUUCAUCAGUGGCUUCAGAAAGUGCUUUUAGCACAAGUGGCAGAAUCUUGGAACCAUAUAGGAGCUGUUUAACCCAUUACUUGAUCGAGGUUCUGAUGUGCAGUGAGCAGUGGCUGAAAGCUGAUAUUAAGUUCUCUGAGAAAGUCCAAACAAAUGAGCAGAUUUUAGCUGAAAUUGAGCAGCUAGACAAGCUUGAGAAAGGUAUGUAUUAUUUAUCUUGGUUUCUCUUACCAUUUCAUUUGAUUGUUGGUGUACUUAACCAAGCUUUUGUUUGUCGCUUCAGAGUUUGGGACUGUGAGGAUUGAAGACUGAAGAUUGCUUUGGAACUUGGAAGUCUUUUUGUUUCUGUUUUGGUGUUGGCUUUGCUUUAUAUUUCAACUUUGAUCUCAUUAGAGAUGUACUCUGUUUCGAGUGUUGCUUUUAAGGUUCAUUAUGAACAAGUUUGCUUUCUUUUGAAGUUUAAUAAAGGUUCUUUUAUGUUUUAUUUUCACCAUUGCAACUGUUCUGUUGAUUAUUUAUUCUAGUCUUCGUCCCCAUUUGGAUAUAGUUGUGUAAAUAACUUGUGUUGCUUAAAGAUGAAACACUUAUAGACUCUUCGUCACCAUUACUUGUGUUUGUGUAAUGCAUGCUAUGCUUUGAUUGAUUUUUUGAAGUGUGUUUUAGUUUAUGUCUAUAAGUGUUUCAUGAAACAAGAUAACAGGUUCAUUCUUUCGGGUAGGGAUAGGUAUUUCGGGUAGUAUUAGUAGUUUGGAUAACCGAAACCCGGUUUAGAACCGAACCCGGAAAGUAAAUGGGUUUAACCGGGUUUAGGAUGUGCUACAGAAUCCGACCCGAACCCGACAAAACCCGAACCGAGACCGAACCGAACUUUUAUAAUACCCGAUUGGGGCUGAUUUUUGUAAACCCGAAAAACCAAAACCCGAUUAGAACCGACCCGAACCCGAAUGGUCACCCGAUUGCCCACGCCUAAUUGUUUCUUAAUGAUUUUCUUUUCUUUCAAAAGGUUACCUUUUAAGGAUCUAUCUGUUCUGUCAAACAUGUUAAAAGGGUACCAGUAUGUAAAUACCGUAGGAAAAAAAAUAACACAGAACUUAACAUACUAAUGGAGGUAAAUCUGUUGGUUAAUCAAAAAGUAUAUACCAGUUUGAUGGUCUAUUGAACCUUACAGUGGAGUUUCUCACUAGUCUCAACAAAAUUUAACCUUUUAUAAGACUCGAUUCAUUCAGAAGCCAAAGAAGCCAAGCUCACUCGCUUUUUCCUUCUCAAAAGUUUCGAAGUACUGAUAUAUAAUCGUCACAGCUAGUAAGAUUCCAGUCCCUGACCCAAUGGCUCCCAUGAAAUCAGCCAAAACAGUGAGUGCACCGAUGCAAACUCCUCCAAAAGCAGCUGCCGUUGGGAUAUACCGGUUCAGCUCCUUCUGCAAGUUAGACUCUCUGUGUCCCGGCAUCACCAUUUGUUGUUCCUAGUCAUUAUAUAUUUCAAUCAAGUGAGUUCCCAGACCUGGGCAGUGUUAAAAAACUUUUUGUCAAUGGAACUGGGUUUCAACAAUACCUUGAGCUGCUUGGCUACGUCUCUAGCAGAAGACCCGGAGACUUCAAUCCAAGUCUUUGAGAAGAGGGCACAAGCGGUGAGCAUGAAGACGAUAUAGAACAGAGCAUGGAACGGAUGAGCUGCCAUCUCGGCGAAGCUGUAACCAUAGAAAACAUAUAUUCAGAAAACUGAGUUAUCAUUGUGUUGAUGGGGACAUAGUAAUUGAGCAUUUACCUUGCUGGAGCUGUGAUCAAGUAAGCAAGACCACUAACUGGUAUAGAUUGUCCACUGUACUCUGAUUCUUUCCACUGCCCCAAUAGGUUUACAAAGAAAUUUCCACUGAACUUCCUGUAGAGUAGCUGUUGACAAGGGACGGAUAUGAAAAUUGUAUUAGAUAAAGGUUCUUUCCUAAAAUCCUUUAUGCGGAAACAAAGGAAGUACCUGAGAGAUGAAGUAGAGGUUUGAGACGAGAGCAGAUUGGAGAAUGAUUGGCAUGUUGGAGGUGUAGAACAGCUUGAUCGGGUAAGAGCCAUGUUGGCCACGGGCACUCUUUGAUCUCACAGGCAACACAACACGAAACCCUUGGAAAUAGAUAACGAUCAGGAAGAUCAAGACCGUUGCAAGCAAGUUGGUAACAUUGGGAAGGUUUUGUCUGUAGAAAGCUUGUCUGAGCGCAGCAACCUUAUUGGAUUUGGUUAUCAGCAUAUGGAACAAGGCGAUCACAGCGCCUUCGAACUCAGCUCCUCGACCAGUGUUGAUUGUUGUAGGACUAAAUGAUUUCCAGAUAAUGCUUUCACUGCGUCACCACAACAAAAGUUGAAAACUUUAUGCAUCUAAAAACAAUCUCCCGCAUAAAAGACUAACACUUUUAAACAUACCAGAUAUUAGUUGCUAUGAAGAGAGAGAUCCCAGAGCCAAGCCCAUAACCCUUUUGAAGAAGCUCGUCGAGGCAGAUAACGAUAAUACCAGCAAAGAAAAGCUGGAGGAUGAUGAGAAUAGAGUUUCCAACACCAAGCUGACCAACAGGACCGUACAUUCCAGAAAGAACAUAAGCAACAGCUUCACCAAUGGCAAUCAAAAUCCCAAGAAGCUUCUGAGCACCAUUCCUACAAAAACACACAACUCAUGAGACAACAAUUCUUGACUCACUCAAUAACUCAAAAUCAUCACAAGUACUUACAAGAGAGCACGAUCCUCACGAACAUUGUUGUCAACCUCAAUGAUCUUAGACCCAGCCAAGAGCUGCAUAACGAGACCAGAGGUGACAAUGGGAGUGAUACCAAGCUCCAUGACAGUACCACGGUUGGAAGCAAGAAUGACACGCAUCCAAUACAAGGGAUCAGCCCCUGUGGUGGCGUGGAUUCCGUAGAGAGGAAGCUGGCUGCAGACGA